GAAGAGAGAGUUCAAGAGUACGUGAAACUGCUCAGAGGUAAACGGGUGGGCCCUCGAAAUCCUGUGGCGGGAAGAUUCAGUCGGGAGGCUCGGACGUGGCGCUGGAAUAUCACAAGAAGGUUCCCGGAGAGGGGCCGUUCCGGUGCCGCGCUUCUGGGACACCCGACGCAUUUGUUUCCCGCCCGAAGGACGCCGCAACCGGUUGGGACGCGGCCUUAAGGUGGGAGAUGGCAGGUGGCCGGUGGCUCUCCUCGUGGGGGUCGCCGGUUGUUAGCCGUCCCGUCGCACGGCACGCGACCCGACCGUGGUAUCACGAGGCCCUUGUGGGCUUCUCCGCCUCCUCCUUAACGGACGGCGGGUAGAAACGUGGCAGGAGCACGACCCUCUGCGGGCGCACGGACUGACUCCGUGGCCCAGCGUUGGGUUGUCUUCGUUGGCCGCGCAGUGCCCGUUGGAGUGUCGGCGGUUGGCGGCGAGUAGAUCGGUCACCCACCCGACCCGUCUUGAAACACGGACCAAGGAGUCUAACAUGUGUGCGAGUCAAUGGGUCUCGAAUAAGCCCAGAGGCGCAAUGAAAGCAAAGGCCGGAAUCACUCCGGCUGUGUUGGGAUCCCUGCCCCUUCGCGGGUGGGGCGCACCAACGACCCGUCCUGUUCCACUUGUGGAUUGGGCGGAGUCUGAGCAUACACGUUGGGACCCGAAAGAUGGUGAACUAUGCCCGGACAGGACGAGGCCAGAGGAAACUCUGGUGGAGGU
rnacentral:rRNA from 1 species